UUCCCAAAAACCAGCCACCCAUAAAAUGUUGGAUUAACAAAAAUGAGUAGAAAAAAUACUGCACAAAAAAGUUUAGUAGAGAAAACACUACAAAUGCAGCAUGCAGAUAAAACACUAGUUUGAUUUGGCAAAAUAUAGUCUGCCAUCUUUCUGCAAACUAUUUUCUUACUGUGAAAGUCAGUAACAUGAAGAACAAGGAUGCUAGCGGAUUUCUGAAACCAAACUUUGUGUGAGUUGCUGCAGAUUGAAACAGAGUUUUAUCUAGAGCGUUACAUUGUUAUUUUACAGACGAUGUUAGAAAGAUUUGCGAAUGAUGCAACUGUUUAUAUGGUGAUAUUCACAUGUAAGUAUUCGAAUAUCUAGAACAUAUUCAAGGUGGUUCUCGGUAGCAAACCAUCAAGAUGGAAAGGGCAUGGUGAAAAAUGCACACAAAGUGGUUCACCUAAAAUGCAAAUUUUGAUGACCCAGAUUGACCAACUUCACCACACUACAUAAAGUUGUUGACUUCCUCGCCAAGUAGACUUACAUAGUUAUAUGGGCCAUUCACCUUUGAAAUCAGUAUGUGUUGAGUUUGGUCAAAAGUUUUGACUAAUAUUGGGAUAGAUGGAAAUAAUGCGAAGUAAUCCGUACUAUUCUUAACUAUAAUUUGUACUACUACCAACUGUUAUGAGACAUAACGCAUCAUCACUUCACUUUUGAUAUAUGCAUCUUGUUAUGGCUGUGCUAGUUUCAA